GCGCUGCGCCGGCCGCCGGCUCCCGGGCUCGCGCGCGUUGCCAAGCGGCCGUUUCCUUAGCAACCCCGCCAGGGGACUGGGGAUGGAGAAGGGAGGGGGAUUAAAAAAAUAAUAAAAAAAGAAAGAAAAAAGAUAGCAAGAAAAAAAAAAGAAAAGCAAGACAACGAAAAAAAAAAUAGGAGGAACUGUAUCACAAUUAUGCAAACUAAGGGGGAAAGAGAGGCACCUUAGAAUGAAGGCUCUCCUUACUGUCGUAAGCGCUAGAGGGAUUCUUUGCUAGAAAAGUCUCCGUGUCAGGGCUGGGGUGAAGAGAGCUGAGGGGCGCUUUGCCUUCCCUCACCGGUGCGUUUUACCUCUCGAGGCACCGUAAGUUUGAAGUCCUCCAAGUUGUGGUCGGCGCCAUCAUGACGCCGGCGACUGUGUUCAAUAGCUCACUGUGAUUGUUGAGAAGUCAACACAGGGACAAGGUCUGGGUCCCAGACCCAAAGACUGCUCCUCCAUACUCAGAGAUACCAGCACUAACAGAGCAGCUCCUCUUCUUCAGUACAGAUGCUUCUCAACUUACAAUGAGGUUAUACCCUUAUAAACACAUGGCUGUAGGUAUACCACAAAGUGAUGGCAUCCACGGCCGUAUGGAUUGGCUGCUGAGAAGACACCACUGCAGUGGGGGAGGCACAACCUGGGCUGUGCACUCUGCGGAGCCCACAGGAGCUGGAAACAGAAACACUACUUGCUGCUGCUAGGUCAGAAACAGAAAACUGGAAAUAUCUCAGAUACAGCUUGGCUGAAGCAAUAGAGAAAAAAAUUCCUAUGAAGUAGAGAGAGAGAAAAGAGAGGUGUUUUGUCAGUUGGUAAUGUAUAUAUGGUGUUUUGUUGUGUCAUUUUCUAAGUUUCUGAAUUCUGAGAACUUAGAAACUUAUUUACAAUAACCUGUUUUUCAUCUUCAAGUGGAUUUGUAAAAAUGAUGUAACAAAAAAAAGUCCAGUUUGUUAUAUUCCUCAAUCAUCACCAAUAUUUUAUGCUCCCAAAGAAAAUGGGAAAAUGUCUUUUUCCAUUACUAGAUGUAUAUCCAGUGCCCACCAUGACUAGGGAAAAAGAGAACUGGUUAUAUAUGUAUAUGUAUUUGGUGAAUUGAAACAAAUUAUUCUGAUGUGUGAAAAUAUCAUUUUUUGUCUAAAUAUAAAAUAUUCCUAUAAUGGCAAAAUUCCUGGGACAAAUUUAGUCAUUUUCCUGUACAUAGAUAUUAAUAGAAAUUAUAUAUUUAUAAAAACAGAUAAAUUCCUCGGUAAGUUUAAUUCAACUUUAUAAUAUUAGAUGUUAAAUUAUAGAACACAUGAAAAAGCUUUUUCUAUGAAAUUAGAUAAUGUUAAGAUGACUUGGGAAUAUUGUCAUUUCAGAGUUUCUUUAUACUUGAUAGAUUUCCUCAAAUACGAAAGUAAUAUUUCUUUGCCACAAGUUACCCUUUCCCUUCAGAAAAAAAUAGAAAACAAAUAUGUAUCUACUUAUUUCAUAUACAUAUAUACUUAUGUGCUACAAAAAUGUCACUUACAUGUACAUACAUCUCUAUGUUUUAGGACUUUCUCAGUUCACCUAAGGAUGGGGUCCUUGUCACAUGGCCAUGAAAGAUUAGUCUCACAGACACUUUGAAGGGUGAGAAAAAUGGAAUUUAUUGGGGGAAAAGGAAAAAAAAGGGAAACAGGAACUCUCAGCAAAGCAAGAGUCCUGCUAGUUGGUUUUCCCACCUCAUAGCUUGAAUCCCAGAUACUACACUGGAUCAGGAGAGGCCAGGCUCUCCCUCCCCAACCCUCCCCCGACAAAGGGUGCAAACUUUCAUGGCUCCACCCCAUUCUCCAAGUACACAGGCUGGUUGGACAUUCUCCAGUGACCCCCUUAUACUUGGCUGUCUCAUCUACAUGUAAACUUUAUAAUUAAACCUCUAUAAUUUACUCGAGAUUAUAAUGUUUUCACCUCUGCACUGUGAGUACUAUAAGACUAGAGAUUACUACACUAAUUAUUCUUGUUCUUAAAUAGUAAGAUAAUUACUGAAGCAAUAUUCUAUUCAAAAUGAAAAUUGGAUCCACCCCCAGCACACUUAAAUUAGGUGUCUUUUUCUUUCAUUUUGCAAAAUGUUCUCCUUUUAUGCUUUUCAAAUGCAUAUAAUAAAAUUAGAAAUAGAAGCUCCAUUAACAGGAGAGUCCAUGCUAGGUAAGAAUGUCAUCAAUGUGGUUAUUCUGCCUAUGCUCCAAUUCUAAAUGUAUUCCUGUACAAACGGUAGUUCUAUUAGAUACUGAUUCUGCUGGUUUCACCUGGCCAAACAGACACAAAUUAGCGGAGGACAAUAAAAAUAGCAUCAGUUAAGUUGAAAGUCAUUAACACUUAUUCAAAAUAUUGGAUGAAAUUAAACCACAAAGGCAAUUAAUGUUUUGGUGAAAAAAAUGUUUUUUUAAAAAUUUAAGAGAUUAUUUUUCUGUACUAGGGGACAAUUCAAACAAUCCCAGGCUGAAAUGAAUACUACCUACUUAGGGCCCCAUUGUAUGCUGAAUACAUUUCAAUAAAACACCUUUAACAUUUUAUUUCAACUCA
rnacentral:lncRNA from 1 species